rnacentral:rRNA from 1 species
GGAAGGAGAAGUCGUAACAAGGUUUUCCAUAGGUGAACCUGCGGAAGGAUCAUUG